rnacentral:sRNA from 1 species
AAUUGUCCAUAAUGGACUGGUUUCCAAAUAACUCUAUCCAUUUCUUUAGUUAUAGAUGCAGAAAUUGUUUUUAAGAUUUUCUUUGCUUGAUAUUAAAAAUAUUUCUCACCUGAAUUAAUUCUAAGAAUUAAUCCCUUUCUUAUAUUAAAAGUAAUAUGCACAAAUUUUUAAUAAUUUUUGCCUUCACAAUGGGAAGAGAACUCUUAUUUCAUCACCAAUGAAUUUCGUGAAACUGUAUGCAGAUCUUAUCACCACAUAUGACAUAUCUGCAACAGCUACCACCACUGUUAAAAUGUACUGUGUAGUGGGCAUUCUUUUGAGUACUUGCUCAUAUUACAUAUCCUUAAAUUUAUUAGAAUUCAUGGGCAAGUUUGAAAGGAAAAAUGUACCGGUGUAUAUCAAACUUGCAAUAUUCAGUUUUUUCAAAAGGGGUAAAAAUUUACUUGAAUGCUGUGUAUCUUAUGUCUUAUCAGAUAUCAUAAUAUACUUUUUUUCCUUCACUUCUCCUGAGUGAGAUAUGCACAAUUUAUAAUAAAGAAAUAUAUAUGCUUAUAAACUGUUUUUGUUC